rnacentral:rRNA from 1 species
UUNCNNGGCUUGACNUAUACCGGAAACGUUCAGAAAUGUUCGCCCCGCAAGGUCGGUAUACAGGUGGUGCAUGGUUGUCGUCAGCUCGUGUCGUGAGAUGUUGGGUUAAGUCCCGCAACGAGCGCAACCCUCGUCGUAUGUUGCCAGCACGUAAUGGUGGGAACUCAUAUGAGACUGCCGGGGUCAACUCGGAGGAAGGUGGGGAUGACGUCAAAUCAUCAUGCCCCUUAUGUCUUGGGCUUCACGCAUGCUACAAUGGCUGGUACAAUGGGCUGCAAUACCGCGAGGUGGAGCGAAUCCCAAAAAGCCAGUCUCAGUUCGGAUUGGGGUCUGCAACUCGACCCCAUGAAGUCGGAGUCGCUAGUAAUCGCAGAUCAGCAACGCUGCGGUGAAUACGUUCCCGGGA